UACGGGGGAGCAAGCGUUGUUCGGAUUUACUGGGCGUAAAGGGCGCGUAGGCGGCCACCGCAAGUCGACUGUGAAAUCUCCGGGCUUAACCCGGAAAGGUCAGCCGAUACUGCGGGGCUAGAGUGCAGAAGGGGCAACUGGAAUUCUCGGUGUAGCGGUGAAAUGCGUAGAUAUCGAGAGGAACACCUGCGGCGAAGGCGGGUUGCUGGGCUGACACUGACGUGAUGCGCGAAAGCUAGGGGAGCGAACGGG
rnacentral:rRNA from 1 species